CCUACGGGGGGCAGCAGUAGGGAAUCUUCCACAAUGGGCGAAAGCCUGAUGGAGCAACGCCGCGUGGGUGAAGAAGGUCUUCGGAUCGUAAAACCCUGUUGUUAGAGAAGCAAGUGCGUGAGAGUAACUGUUCACGUUUCGACGGUAUCUACCCAGAAAGCCCCGGCUAACUACGUGCCAGCAGCCGCGGUAAUACGUAGGUGGCAAGCGUUAUCCGGAUUUAUUGGGCGUAAAGGGAACGCAGGCGGUCUUUUAAGUCUGAUGUGAAAGCCUUCGGCUUAACCGGAGUAGUGCAUUGGAAACUGGGAGACUGGAGUGCAGAAGAGGAGAGUGGAACUCCAGGUGUAGCGGUGAAAUGCGUAGAUAUAUGGAAGAACACCAGUGGCGAAAGCGGCUCUCUGGUCUGUAACUGACGCUGAGGUUCGAAAGCGUGGGUAGCAAACAGGAUUAGAUACCCUAGUAGUC
rnacentral:rRNA from 1 species